CAGAAAGAGAUGUGCCACAAGCUGCUUGCCCUGGAAAACACACUUAUCAAAGUUGUUGUAGGCGUCGAAUGCCAUCUUGAACGGCUGGAGGGGAGGAGAGAUGGGGGAGAAGGAGAGUGAUUAAUGCUAAAAAGUCUCUUCUUGUCUUGUUCAACCUCUCUGUCUGCGUACGCGUCUCUGUCCUGCUCUGCAGUGGCCAAAGAUGUUUGGAUCCAUGUACAAACAAGAAAUUACGCACUCAGCAUGGGGUCUUACAUACACGCAAACAUUGACUCGCCUUGUGCUUUUCCCUCUUAAGAUUCCUCUGCCACCCCCACCUCCUUCCACCGCUCUGGUGCUCCCUGCGCUGGCUAGGACUAUAAGACACACACACAGCAUCUGAUGGCAAAGCUCCGCCAGAUGAGAGGGUUGUCAUGUUCGUUGAGUAGCGUGGGCUUGGUGUGUUAUGGUUGGCAGGAAGUGGAGAUGGGGAGUUCCGCUAAGCACUGUAGAUGAAGAGAGAGCAAACAAACAAGACGGGAAAGGAAAAGAAGGAGCGAUGGCAGGAGAUGGAGAAGCACCUGUAUCCCGGUAUUGUCCCCAAUGCGGAGUCUCACAGACUCGUGUUGUCGCAGACGACUCUGGGCUUCCUCCAGUUGUGCGUAACAGGCCUGCAGCCUCGACGUCAGGUCAGGACAAUGCACACGCUGUUGCCACACUUCCCCAGGCUCUCUGAACACAUCCUGAAAUAAGCACAACAACCAGCAGACACCACUCAGAUAAUGAUCACUCCAUUUCUGUUUCAGGUCCCUGCCUUUUCUUUCUCUGAUCCCUCUCCCUCAGGUAGAGGUGGCUUACUGUUAAAACCAGAGGCCAAUCCACUUCAUCUCUCCUCCUGUGACACAGACCGACAGAGAUGCCGAGAGAGAGAGAGGGUGACCUUCAGUUGUUGUUUGGUGUUAAAACGGAGGGAGGACGAGGGGGGAGAUAGAGAGAAAGAGAGACAGGGACCCUGUCCUUGUUCCUAUCGCCAUGGGAUCAGUGGCCUGGCCUGACCACUUCCACAGCCGGCACCUCAACCUUAUCCAUCACCACUAGAUAGUUAUCACAGCAGGAAAGGAGGGUGUAGAGCUGAGUACAAAAGAAAUAAUGGGGGACUUCCUGCACUAAUCACACACUAAACAGGGAAACAAAAACAGAGGUGUAUAAAUAAGGACAAAAAUGUAUUUAUCUCCAUGUGGGCACAAAGAGACUUCCCUGAUAUCGCUAAUGAACCUCCAGCUGUGUGUGCGUGUUUGUGUGUCAAGUACAGCUAAUAAAAUGAGACAAAUCCACGCCUCAUUUCUGCUCACUUAUGUUUUACAUUAUGAGAAAGUAAUAAUAGGAAAAGCACUUUGCCAUAAAGAGCUACAGAGCGUAAAUAACACAAAUGGUGAAAUGGCUUCUCAUCAAAUCAACAUACAUACACAGAUACAUGCACAGACACAAUACACAGACGGAGCCUGGAAGACUGUGCUGAGGGUCAAAUGUUUGGGUGCUCUCAUCGAAACAUGUUGUUUUCUAAAUUUUA